UAACAGGUUUCCGUAGGUGAACCUGCGGAAGGAUCAUUAAUAGUGCUCUCUGAUGCAAAUCAUUGAGUUAGAUCUGCUCUCCUCGCAAGAGGAGGGUUUCCAUACACACCGUGAACUGUGGCUUCGGCCAUCACAAACUGUCAGUAAUGAAUGUAAUAUCAUAACAAAAACAAAACUUUUAACAACGGAUCUCUUGGCUCUCGCAUCGAUGAAGAACGCAGCGAAAUGCGAUAAGUAAUGUGAAUUGCAGAAUUCAGUGAAUCAUCGAAUCUUUGAACGCACCUUGUGCCCUUUGGUAUUCCGAAGGGCAUGCCUGUUUGAGUGUCAUGAAACCUCACCCCACUUGGGUUUUUGCCUGAGCGGUGGUGUAUUGGGUGUUGCCUUGCUAAAGGCUCGCCUUAAAGACAUAAGCACCUUGGAUGUAAUACGUUUCAUCCUUCUGGGUGGCUGAUAACCCCACAUAUUCAUGAUCUGGCCUCAAAUCAGGUAGGGCUACCCGCUGAACUUAAGCAUA
rnacentral:rRNA from 1 species